rnacentral:rRNA from 1 species
UACGGGGGGAGCAAGCGUUGUUCGGAUUUACUGGGCGUAAAGCGUGCGCAGGCGGUUCGUUAAGUCAGAUGUGAAAGCCCCGGGCUCAACCUGGGAACUGCAUUUGAAACUGGCGGGCUUGGGUACUAGAGGGGAAAGCGGAAUUCCUGGUGUAGCGGUGAAAUGCGUAGAUAUCAGGAGGAACACCGGUGGCGAAGGCGGCUUUCUGGACAGUAACUGACGCUGAGGAGCGAAAGCGUGGGGAGCGAACAGG